rnacentral:rRNA from 1 species
AGUGAACGCUGGCGGUAGGCCUAACACAUGCCAGUCGAACGGCAGCACAGUAAGAGCUUGCUCUUACGGGUGGCGAGUGGCGGACGGGUGAGGAAUACAUCGGAAUCUACUUUUUCGUGGGGGAUAACGUAGGGAAACUUACGCUAAUACCGCAUACGACCUACUGGUGAAAGCAGGGGAUCUUCGGACCUUGCGCGAUUGAAUGAGCCGAUGUCGGAUUAGCUAGUUGGCGGGGUAAAGGCCCACCAAGGCGACGAUCCGUAGCUGGUCUGAGAGGAUGAUCAGCCACACUGGAACUGAGACACGGUCCAGACUCCUACGGGAGGCAGCAGUGGGGAAUAUUGGACAAUGGGCGCAAGCCUGAUCCAGCCAUACCGCGUGGGUGAAGAAGGCCUUCGGGUUGUAAAGCCCUUUUGUUGGGAAAGAAAAGCAGCAGGUUAAUACCCCGCUGUUCUGACGGUACCCAAAGAAUAAGCACCGGCUAACUUCGUG